rnacentral:rRNA from 1 species
GACGAACGCUGGCGGCGCGCUUAACACAUGCAAGUCGAACGGAAAGGCCUGCUUUCCCUUGUGGAUUGCGGGUACUCGAGUGGCGAACGGGUGAGUAACACGUGAGUGAUCUGCCCCCAACUUGGGUAUAAGCCUGGGAAACUGGGUCUAAUUCCCGAUAGGACUGCAGGGUGGUGCCUGUGGUGGAAAACGAUUUUCUAGUGGUUGGGGAUGAGCUCGCGGCCUAUCAGCUUGUUGGUGGGGUAAUGGCCUACCAAGGCGGCGACGGGUAGCCGGCCUGAGAGGGUGGACGGCCACAUUGGGACUGAGAUACGGCCCAGACUCCUACGGGAGGCAGCAGUGGGGAAUAUUGCACAAUGGGCGGAAGCCUGAUGCAGCGACGCCGCGUGGGGGAUGACGGCCUUCGGGUUGUAACCUCCUUUCGACCGCGAGGAAGCCACCUGGUUGGAAGGGUGGUGACGGUAGUGGUAGAAGAAGCACCGGCUAACUACGUG